GGGAGACAAUAAACAGACACACCUGUAGUUGUUCCCAAACUUUAUUAUAGGGAAAAGUCACCUGGAGAACUUGUUUAAAUUGUGGAUUCUCCCAAAACCACCCCACCCUAGCCCCAGAAGAUCAGAUUCAGUUGAUCUGGAUGAGCCUAGGGCUCUACAUUUGCCACAAUCUCCGCAGUGAUCCUGAGGGAGGAGAAACCCCAGGGAAAAUAUGGCUAAUGAGGAUGAAAAAACAGACAAGAGGUGGAACUUCAAUGAAGAGGAAAACUCUUCCUAGCCUUGGUCGAGAGCGAGCACACUAAAACUCUGCCCUGAAAGAGGUGCAUGACAUCUAGUUUGAAUAGAAGACUCCUGAAUUAUAACUCUUUUUCUUUCUGUAAUUCAUAGAUAUUAUUCCAGUCUUCUGCAUUCUAGUGUUGCAGAUGCUCUUUAUUUAGAUGAGGAAGCUACCUUCUGUUUGCUGAAUGUAUUAUUAUAAAUCUCCAAGUGUUUCUUGAACUCAUGGGGGAAACCCCCUCACUAGUAGUCUCUGCUGGUGCUUCUACAGAACUGAAGACUUCACGGAACCUGGGAGCCUACAGACCUCAGUAAAGGCCUAACUAAGAAGAUAUAGCUGAAUAAAAAUUGGACAACAAAGAAAGAUGUCAAUGUUUCUAUUGCCAUCAGGCAAUAUUAAUUUUAACUUUUAAGAUGUUUAUUUUGGGCCUUCCCCCACGUGUCACUCCCUUAGUACUGUUUUCUAGGAGAUAAAAGCUACAUUCAUAAAAUAAUCCAUGUUGUUGGUUAAUAAUUUAUUCUUUCAAUGAAAGUUGUUUGCAUUUCAAUCACAACCUUUUAUAAACACUAACUUAAUCUAAAGGCAUGUAUCUGUUUGUAGGACUUUUAAAUAUGACAAGCUAGGGAGGAAGACAUUUUCUUUGUGAAUCCCAUUAUAAUCAUCCUAGAAAUGGAAUUGCUGUAGCAUAGGAUGUGAACACAUUCAGCUUUCUUAGAUAUUACUAGGAAUUUUACCAAUAGCAGUGCAUAAAACUGUUGUUACUCCUCACCCUCUGCAACGCUUGAAGGUAUAAGAUAUUUAAAGUUAUAGAAGUCUGAUAUGUGUAAAAUAUUAAAUUAUUGUGACUUUAAUUUUUAUUAUUUAUUAUUUGCCAUUUGGAUAACUUCUUCUGUGAAUUUACUGUUCAUAUUACUUGUUUGACGCUAGAUUUUUUUUUUUUUUUUUGAGAGAGAGCCUUUCUCUGUCCCCAGGCUGGAGUGCAGAGGCGCAAUCUCAGCUCACUGCAACCUCCACCUCCCGGGUUCAAGUGAUUCUCCUGCCUCAGCCUCCCACGUAGCUGAGACUACAGGUGCCUGCCACCAGGCCCAGCUAUUUUUUUUACUUUUAGUUGAAACGGGGUUUCAUCAUGUUAGCCAAGAUGGUCUUGAUCUCUUGACCGCGUGAUCUGCCCACCUUGGCCUCCCAAAGUGCUGGGAUUACAGGCAUGAGCCACCACACCUGGCCGAUUUCACACUAGAUUUUAUCUUUACUUACUGGUAGGUGGCCUUCGAAUAGUCUGGGAAUGAAUCUUGUGCUGAAAGAUUGUAAAUAUUUUCUUCCAAAUCUGUGACUUCCCUUCAGAUUAUAGUUUUAAUGUUAGAAUUGUCAAAUUUAUCAACAUUUCUGUUAGAGGUGGUGCCUUUAGUUCUUGUAUUCUUAUUUAAAAAGUCUUUUUCUGCCCUGAAAUUAUCCUAUGUGUUCUUGUAAAACAUUUUUAGUAUUGUUCUCCAUAUUUAAGAUAUUUCCAUCUGGAAUUUAUUUUUGUAUGGUGUGAGAUAUGGAUAUAACCAGAAAUAUAAUUAUUUUUUCCUUAAUGCAAGCCAAAUUUUUUUUGGUUAUUUAUUUUAUAAGCCCUGUUUAUUACAUCUUUGCCUCACUGAUUCCCCACUGGCCAGUAAGGUCACUACUGUUUUACACCAAAUUCUCCAAUAUGAGUCUAUUUCUGGCCUCUCUCAUCUAUUUGUCUAUCUCUGAAUCAAGCCCAGGGAUCAAUGUUUUGUUGUUAUGGGGAACUGGAAUUUUUGAGAAGCUCACUGGUUACUGUCCUUUGCCAUAGAAAUGACCUCCGGAUUGGCAGAAGGUUGUUGGAAACACCUAACCAUCAGAGGCAAGGUAGAUGUAAUUAAUAUCAUGGCAUCAAGACCAGAGAGGUACUUAGCGUGCUUGACACACAGGGAUUUCCAGUGAUGGUGAAUAAAUCGUGAUGUCCAUACAGUUGAGAUAUAAGAACAGCUAAGUUCUAAAUUGUUUGAUUGGUGCAAUAAAAAAAGAAAUUAAGACCCAGUGAGCAGAAAGCUGAUGUCAGGUACCAUAAUGGAAAAUCACCAUAUUCAUCCAGCUUCUAGAUCUACAUUUGUCAAUAUUGUUUGAAUGGGUGAUAAGAUCUCUUUGAAGAAUGACCCUGCAAUGAAACCCGAGGAAUAUAUGAUAAUUAUCUUUCUUGCUUGCUCCAAAGAAACCCUAAGCUAUUUUGCCAGGGUAAAGGCCACUUAGAAACAAGUAAUACCUAGAUUUUCCAAGGCAAUGCAAAAUACAAUCUUAGUCCUCUAAUUUUAAAGAGGGCUUAUAGAAGCCAAGUAAUCAAUGCAGUUAUAGCCCAGGAUAAUCUGAUAGUACAUCCAUAGGUCCUUGAACUCACUCUGGUUCUUUCCUCAGGUUAUAAAUGUGUAAUUGAUGCAGAUAUAUAUAUAUAUAUAGCAGGUCACAUUGGCUGGAAUGGGAGAUACAGUAGAAAGUCCCUGAAAUUUGUGUCUCCUGGCCAAGGUAAAUAAUCCAAAGUAAGUAAAUCAGAAGAAAUACCAUAUCUCACAAAGAAUUGCAGGGAUGUCUACUACCAUCAAAGAAUUUAAGGAUGUAGUGGUGAUGCAUCAUUUCUCUAUCAAUUCAUCUAGGCCUUCACAAAUAUCCCAUGAACAACGGCAGAUGAGGGUACUAUAAACAUAACAAGGAGGUAGCUCCAAUCACAGUAACUGUGUGAAAUAUAAUCAUUUUACUGAAGCAGAUCAAUGCAGAUUCUGGAAUUUAAUAAGCAUUUAUUUAUUUAACAAAAUUUUCUUAUCAGUUCCCUGAGUAUGGAGAAUCAGAAAUAGUACUUUUUCUUAGCAAAAAAGCAAUUUACCUUCACUGUCCUGCCUUACAGCUAUUUGACUCUCCUCCCCUCUCUUAUGUAACUUAAUUUGGCACUAGAUGAUAGUAAACUCUGUGCACAUGUAUAUUUAUAUGUAUAUGUGUAUGGUUUUUUUGCUUUGAAAUUGCAAAAAGUAACAUGUAUUUGAUAAUGAUGAUUUUCCACUUCAUUUCCUAAGUUUUCAUGUUUUUAUUCACCAGUAGACUAAUUGUAUCUCAAGCUUUGUAAUAAACUGGUCAAAUCUUUCAUUUUUUUCUCAUUCAGCAACAUUAAACACAUAGAGCUCAGAAGUGAAUUUUCCUUUGACAUGCAAUAAUCUUCAGACAUUUUGAAUGCAACAAAAACUUCUCUAUGUUUCCAUCUCAUAAGGUAAGGGUAUUGGCUAAGGGUAUUGUAAAACUCUCCAGCCAUUUGAAGCUCUCCUG
rnacentral:lncRNA from 10 species